rnacentral:rRNA from 1 species
GAUGAACGCUGGCGGCGUGCCUAACACAUGCAAGUCGAACGGAGUUAUUAUUAUGAAGCCUUCGGAUGGAUUAAUAAUAACUUAGUGGCGGACGGGUGAGUAACGCGUGGGUAACCUGCCUCAUACAGGGGGAUAACAGCUGGAAACGGCUGCUAAAACCGCAUAAGCAUACAUUGUCGCAUGACAGAGUGUGAAAAUAUUUAUAGGUAUGAGAUGGGCCCGCGUCUGAUUAGCUAGUUGGUAAGGUAACGGCUUACCAAGGCGACGAUCAGUAGCCGGCUUGAGAGAGUGACCGGCCACAUUGGGACUGAGACACGGCCCAAACUCCUACGGGAGGCAGCAGUGGGGAAUAUUGCACAAUGGGCGAAAGCCUGAUGCAGCGACGCCGCGUGAGUGAAGAAGUAUUUCGGUAUGUAAAGCUCUAUCAGCAGGGAAGAAAAUGACGGUACCUGACUAAGAAGCCCCGGCUAACUACGUGCCAGCAGCCGCGGUAACAC